AUUUAAAUAGUUUAAUUAAAACUUUGAUUUGUGGAGUCAGUAAUGUAUAAUAUACUUUAAAUA
rnacentral:tRNA from 1 species